UACGAAGGGUGCGAGCGUUGUUCGGAAUUACUGGGCGUAAAGGGUUUGUAGGCAGAGAUAUAAGUCAAGUGUGAAAUCCCCGAGCUAAACUUGGGACGUGCAUUUGAAACUGUGUUUCUUGAGUAUCGUAGAGGGUGGUGGAAUUGUAGGUGUAGGAGUGACAUCCGUAGAGAUCUGCAGGAACAACGGAGGCGAAGGCGACCACCUGGCCGAUUACUGACGCUGAGGAACGAAAGCGUGGGGAGCAAACAGG
rnacentral:rRNA from 1 species